UACGUAGGCAGCGAGCGUUGUUCGGAGUUACUGGGCGUAAAGAGUGCGUAGGCGGUUUUCUAAGUUUGGUGUGAAAUCUCCCGGCUCAACUGGGAGGGUGCGCCGAAGACUGGAAGGCUUGAGUAUGGGAGAGGGUAGUGGAAUUCCUGGUGUAGCGGUGAAAUGCGUAGAUAUCAGGAGGAACACCUGCGGUGUAGACGGCUUACUGGACCAUCACUGACGCUGAGGCACGAAAGCGUGGGUAGCAAACAGG
rnacentral:rRNA from 1 species